rnacentral:rRNA from 1 species
GACGAACGCUGGCGGCGUGCUUAACACAUGCAAGUCGAACGGUGAGGCACUGCUUGUGUUGUGUACUCGUGGCGCACGGGUGUGUAACACGCGAGCAUCCCGCGCCCGUGUCUGGGGUAAGCGUUCGAGACGGUGUCUAUUAUAGGAGAUGAGAUCUCAUGCCACGGGGUGCAGGUGGAAAGAUUUCUCGGUUUGGGAUGGGCUCGCGGCCUAUCAGCUUGUUGGUGGGGUAAUGGCUUACCAAGGCGUCGACGGGUAGCCGGCCUGAGAGGGUGACCGGCCACACUGGGACUGAGACACGGCCCAGACUCCUACGGGAGGCAGCAGUGGGGAAUAUUGCACAAUGGGCGGAAGCCUGAUGCAGCAACGCCGCGUGCGGGAUGACGGCCUUCGGGUUGUAAACCUCUUUUGGCUGGGACGAAGCGAGAGUGACGGUAACGGGUAAAGAAGCACCGGCUAACUACGUG